ACCUCGGUAGUGUAAGGGAUAAGAGCACGGUCCCCGGAAAGGACAAGUACGGGUUCAAGUCCCGUCCGAGGCU
rfam:Haemonchus contortus, ISE/inbred ISE, WGS project CAVP01000000 data, contig: Hcontortus_19867